GAAAUAUGUAAUCAAGAAUAAGCUUCUAACUUAAUUCUUAAGCGUUAAAUCGUUUAUAUUUCU
rnacentral:tRNA from 1 species